rnacentral:rRNA from 14 species
CCGGAAGUCCAAGGUUUCCAGGGGAAGGCUUGUCCGCCCUGGGGAAGUCGGGACCUAAGCAUAAGCAAAAUUGUGAUGGCGAAUGGAAAACAGGUUAAUAUUCCUGUACCGCUGUUAUCGCUUGAGAGACGGAGUGACGCAGGAAGGUAUGCGAGAAGGCUGACGGUUUAGCCUUUCUAAGGGCCCAGCGUGGGCGUGCGGGUAA